ACCAUAGCUCCGACAAACCACAGCAUCGACACGACAUAGCCUCGACAAACCGUAGCACCGACACGUCAUAGCCUCGACAAACCAUAGCAUCGACAAGUAAAAUAAAAUUAGGCCUGCCACCACAGCCUCGACACGACAUAGCAUCGACAAACCAUAGCAUCGACAAGUCACGUGACACAUCUAUGGAAAUGUGGCCAACCUACUAAAUAAACAUGCGAUGAUAAUAAUAAUAAAUAAAGUUUUUAGUAGAAUGAUAAAUAGAAAACAAUCAAUCAAUUAUCAACAACUUUUAAAAUGAAAUUUUCCAUAUUUGUUAUUUAAUAAUACAUUUCACUUGUCACGUAUUUGACGUCCGAAUAAUUCUGAUUUUUUUGUGUUGUAGGGCUUGUGUCUUGACCGUUGAAAAACUCCUAACUCCAAAUCCAAAACUGUUCAAUUUUAUAGGUUACAUGUUGAUUGACGAUAAAUUAUCACAAUUUUGAAAGUUUUUAAAUUUCAAAAUAAAUUGACUUGAAGUUUUAUUCUUCUACAAAGUUUAUAUGUUUAUGUAAAUUGAAUAAGGUAGACCAUUUAACUACGAAAUGUUCUAUAAAGUUUAUUUUAUACUUCUUUGCCUAGUUACUAGACGAUGUCUGGAUUGUGUUUCAGAUUUCGAUUUAUACUGCAGCAAACAUAGAGCAAGGGAUCAAAUACAACUAUCCAAUCAAGGAGAAAUUUGACAGAACCAGAGUUUCAGCCGAGCGAUUUAUACAAGUGGAUUACUUCUAAUAACAAAGAGGCUAACCAUUCUACUGAUGAACGUGCCAACUCCACUGAUACCUCACCAUAUUAUUUGUUUUACAUAGAGCAAUCCAAUAUUUUUUAUACACUUAUGAAGUGUUUUAUCAAUAAACAUAAUAAAUAAUAAGUGUAUUUGAACAAACGAAAUUAACACUUGAAAAGUAAUGUUGUCUGUUUAUGUAAAGAGUUUGUCACAUUUUAUACUCUGAAAUUGUUUUAUAUAAUUUCAUUAUAAUUCUCAUAAUGUGUAAUAGAUUGCAUAAAAUUGUUAUUAAAAA